GCAGUGAGGAAUAUUGGACAAUGGGUGAGAGCCUGAUCCAGCCAUCCCGCGUGCAGGAAGACGGCCCUAUGGGUUGUAAACUGCUUUUAUACAGGAAUAAACCACCUUACGUGUAGGGUGUUGAAGGUACUGUAUGAAUAAGCACCGGCUAACUCCGUGCCAGCAGCCGCGGUAAUACGGAGGGUGCAAGCGUUAUCCGGAUUUAUUGGGUUUAAAGGGUCCGCAGGCGGACUUGUAAGUCAGAGGUGAAAGCCGGCAGCUCAACUGUCGAACUGCCUUUGAAACUGCAAGUCUUGAGUGAGGUUGAAGUAGCUAGAAUGAGUAGUGUAGCGGUGAAAUGCUUAGAUAUUACUCAGAAUACCAAUUGCGAAGGCAGGUUACUAAGUCUUAACUGACGCUGAGGGACGAAAGCGUGGGGAGCGAACAGGAUUAGA
rnacentral:rRNA from 1 species